UGUGUGCCCAACUCCAAAGUGCCCUGAGCCAUGUCCUCCUCCUAAAUGCCCUGAGCCUUGUCCUCCUCCAAAGUGCCCAGAGUCUUGUCCUCCUCCGAAGUGUCCAGAACCUUGUCCUCCUCCCUCAUACCAACAGAAAUGCCCUCCUGUGCAACCUCCUCCAACCUGCCAGCAGAAGUGUCCACCAAAGAGCAAGUGAGGACUUCAGCACUCAUCAGGACAAGGGGAAGAGAAGAGAAUCUGUCUCAUGUACUUGCAAAGGAACACCUUCCUCUUCCCUCCAUAGUCUUUCAUGAAUGCAGAGGAAUCUUGUAAACUUUUCCCUCUCCAUGUGCCUGUGAUGACCCCUUACACAGUAGAUUUCCUGUUUUUGGUAUCAAGAGCCUGCUGAAAAUGAUCUAUCCUAAGUGAUUCAGUGUUCCAGAUACUCAGUGGGAAGUGUAGCUCUCAUCUAACCUGUGCACUUAGAAAAUGUUUCUCAAGAUGUCAGUCACCUUAGUUGUAGUGCUGCCACUGUGAUUCCUGAAUAAAGUACAAUCUGUUGAAUGGUA
rnacentral:lncRNA from 1 species